rnacentral:lncRNA from 1 species
UUUUCUUCCAAGCAGAGAAACCCUCACAUAUUAAACCUGGGGCAGGGUAGUCUCCAGCUAAUUUGACCACGCGUUUAAUUCUUAAAAAGAAAAAGUAGGGAGUGUCCAAUUUUAGGAUCAACCACAUCAUAGGGAGUGUCUUGUCUAAAGGACAACCACAUCAUUUCCCUCACGGGAGGUCGAAAUCACAAAUCCAAUGGUUGUCCC